UUGCGGGGCUCAGAAGCAGAGUCUGGGGCGUCUCCGCCAUGGCCUGGACCCCUCUCCUCCUCACGCUCCUCGCUCACUGCUCAGGUGA
rnacentral:pre_miRNA from 1 species